rnacentral:rRNA from 1 species
CCUACGGGUGGCAGCAGUGAGGAAUAUUGGUCAAUGGACGAGAGUCUGAACCAGCCAAGUAGCGUGAAGGAUGACUGCCCUAUGGGUUGUAAACUUCUUUUAUAUGGGAAUAAAAUGUUCCACGUGUGGGAUUUUGUAUGUACCAUAUGAAUAAGGAUCGGCUAACUCCGUGCCAGCAGCCGCGGUAAUACGGAGGAUCCGAGCGUUAUCCGGAUUUAUUGGGUUUAAAGGGAGCGUAGGUGGAUUGUUAAGUCAGUUGUGAAAGUUUGCGGCUCAACCGUAAAAUUGCAGUUGAAACUGGCAGUCUUGAGUUGGAGAGAAGUAUGCGGAAUGCGCGGUGUAGCGGUGAAAUGCAUAGAUAUCGCGCAGAACUCCGAUUGCGAAGGCAGCAUGCCGGCUCCACACUGACGCUGAGGCACGAAAGCGUGGGUAUCGAACAGGAUUAGAUACCCUUGUAGUC